GCUUCUGUGAAUCGCUCUGUUUUCCCUAGGUUAACGGCUCGGGCAACGUUUUUGUUUUGCUCAGAGGCUCGGCAAAUCGUCAGCGCGGGAAAGAUGGCAGUUGAAUGCGAGGUGCCCUCUCCAGUUCCCCUGAUGGAUCUGCGGAGUCGGAUAUCUGGCGCUGCGGAGAACCGAGCUGAUUGCAGUACCAGCACUCUGAAGCACUUAUUUGAGCAGGAAAGAUAAAGGUCUUCGUGCAAGUA
rnacentral:lncRNA from 1 species